rfam:Oryza glaberrima chromosome 4 Oglab04_0324_10, whole genome shotgun sequence.
CAUUGCUACUCCCUCGUCCCUUCCAUUACACAAGUUUGAUCUUCCGUUUUAUUUAAAUAUAUUUUUUAAAAAAAUAAAAUAUAAGUUAUCUAUAAAGCACUAUUCAUAUUUUAUUAUCUUAUAACAUUAAAAAUACUAAUUAUAAAAAAUUUAAAUAAGACAGACGAUCAAAAUUAGACACGAAAAUUUGUGGUUGCGUUUAAA